UUCUAUAUGCUAGUUGCUCAACUAAUAUCUCUCUCUCUCUAUCUCUCAACAUUUUUCUUAAGUUUAAUUAGUUUUCAGAAGAAGGAGAAGAUGAAGAUCCUGGUCAUACUUUUCCACAGCUUUCUUGAACUUUCUUUUUCAUUUCCAUUGUUUUUUUCUUAAACAAAAGUAAGAAGAAAAAAAACUUUAAGAUUAAGCAUUUUGGAAGCUCAAGAAAGCUGUGGGAAAACAUGACAAUUCAGGGUUUUACUCCAUUGAUUCACUUGUCAAGAUUCUUCUUUCCAAAGAUAUUGAUUUGAAGGUAUGGUUACAUAAACCCUUUAUUCCUAAAUUGAAGACACAGGAUAACUCUUUAGAUCCAUAAUUAUGGUCAGAAUUAUGGAUCUAAAGAGUUAUUGUGAUUAUAAUCACUAAAGUACCGAAGACAUUAGGAUGGUAAUCAUGCUAUAGUUAAAUCUAUAUCUUUAAAUAGGUAUGUUGAGUUUUGUCGUCGAAAGUAAAUAAAAGUUUACUUCUCAUUCCCCUUAAUCCCGUAUCAAUGAAGGCUACAUAUGAUAAUUUGGUUAAUUGUGAUAGUUUCUUACUAAAUCUUCAAGGUUUUGUUUUAGAUGUUCUUAUUAUAUUGGUACUCUGUGAAAGGUUUCUAAAUGAAAAUGAGGAACGAAGUUUCUGUGAGUUUCCACUUUCCAGUUCUACAUGAGAAAAUAAGGUUUAUAUGCUGAUCUUUUCUUACAUUUUGGUUGGAAAAAGAUUUAUGUGAUGUCACUCUAACCACU
rnacentral:precursor_RNA from 1 species